rnacentral:rRNA from 1 species
CCUACGGGAGGCAGCAGUGGGGAAUAUUGGACAAUGGGCGAAAGCCUGAUCCAGCAAUGCCGCGUGAGUGAUGAAGGCCUUAGGGUUGUAAAGCUCUUUUACCAGGGAUGAUAAUGACAGUACCUGGAGAAUAAGCUCCGGCUAACUCCGUGCCAGCAGCCGCGGUAAUACGGAGGGAGCUAGCGUUGUUCGGAAUUACUGGGCGUAAAGCGUACGUAGGCGGUUAUUCAAGUCAGAGGUGAAAGCCUGGAGCUCAACUCCAGAACUGCCUUUGAAACUAGAUAGCUAGAAUCACGGAGAGGUUAGUGGAAUUCCGAGUGUAGAGGUGAAAUUCGUAGAUAUUCGGAAGAACACCAGUGGCGAAGGCGACUAACUGGACGUGUAUUGACGCUGAGGUACGAAAGCGUGGGGAGCAAACAGGAUUAGAUACCCUGGUAGUCCACGCCGUAAACGAUGAUAACUAGCUGUUCGGUCUCUACGAGACUGAGUGGCGCAGCUAACGCAUUAAGUUAUCCGCCUGGGGAGCGGUCGCAAGNUUAAAACUCAAGGAAUUGACGG